rnacentral:rRNA from 1 species
ACGGGUGAGUAACACGUGGGCAACCUGCCUGAUAGAGGGGGAUAGCCUCCCGAAAGGGAGAUUAAUACCGCAUAAAGUCAAAUGAAGGCAUCUUCAAAUGACCAAAGGAGUAAUCCGCUAUCAGAUGGGCCCGCGGCGCAUUAGCUAGUUGGUGAGGUAACGGCUCACCAAGGCGACGAUGCGUAGCCGACCUGAGAGGGUGAUCGGCCACAUUGGGACUGAGACACGGCCCAGACUCCUACGGGAGGCAGCAGUGGGGAAUAUUGCACAAUGGGGGAAACCCUGAUGCAGCAACGCCGCGUGAGUGAUGAAGGCCUUCGGGUUGUAAAGCUCUGUCUUCAGGGACGAUAAUGACGGUACCUGAGGAGGAAGCCACGGCUAACUACGUGCCAGCAGCCGCGGUAAUACGUAGGUGGCAAGCGUUGUCCGGAUUUACUGGGCGUAAAGGGAGCGUAGGCGGAUACUUAAGUGGGAUGUGAAAUACCUGGGCUUAACUUGGGUGCUGCAUUCCAAACUGGGUGUCUAGAGUGUUGGAGAGGAAAGUGGAAUUCCUAGUGUAGCGGUGAAAUGCGUAGA